rnacentral:rRNA from 1 species
UGGGGAAUUUUGGACAAUGGGCGAAAGCCUGAUCCAGCCAUGCCGCGUGAGUGAAGAAGGCCUUCGGGUUGUAAAGCUCUUUUAGUCGGAAAGAAAGAGUUGCAAUGAAUAAUUGUGAUUUAUGACGGUACCGACAGAAAAAGCACCGGCUAACUACGUGCCAGCAGCCGCGGUAAUACGUAGGGUGCGAGCGUUAAUCGGAAUUACUGGGCGUAAAGGGUGCGCAGGCGGUCUUGCAAGUCAGAUGUGAAAGCCCCGGGCUUAACCUGGGAAUUGCGUUUGAAACUACAAGGCUAGAGUGCAGCAGAGGGGAGUAGAAUUCCAUGUGUAGCAGUGAAAUGCGUAGAGAUGUGGAAGAACACCGAUGGCGAAGGCAGCUCCCUGGGUUGACACUGACGCUCAUGCACGAAAGCGUGGGGAGCAAGCA